rnacentral:rRNA from 1 species
UAGAGUUGAUCCAUGGCUCAGAUUGAACGCUGGCGGCAGGCCUAACACAUGCAAGUCGAGCGGAUGAGAGGAGCUUGCUCCUGGAUUCAGCGGCGGACGGGUGAGUAAUGCCUAGGAAUCUGCCUGGUAGUGGGGGACAACGUUUCGAAAGGAACGCUAAUACCGCAUACGUCCUACGGGAGAAAGCAGGGGACCUUCGGGCCUUGCGCUAUCAGAUGAGCCUAGGUCGGAUUAGCUAGUUGGUGAGGUAAUGGCUCACCAAGGCGACGAUCCGUAACUGGUCUGAGAGGAUGAUCAGUCACACUGGAACUGAGACACGGUCCAGACUCCUACGGGAGGCAGCAGUGGGGAAUAUUGGACAAUGGGCGAAAGCCUGAUCCAGCCAUGCCGCGUGUGUGAAGAAGGUCUUCGGAUUGUAAAGCACUUUAAGUUGGGAGGAAGGGCAGUAAAUUAAUACUUUGCUGUUUUGACGUUACCGACAGAAUAAGCACCGGCUAACU